UACGGAGGUUGCAAGCGUUAUCCGGAUUUAUUGGGUUUAAAGGGUGCGUAGGCGGGAUAAUAAGUCAGUGGUGAAAACCUGCAGCUUAACUGUAGAACUGCCAUUGAUACUGUUAUUCUUGAGUAUAGUUGAGGUGGGCGGAAUGUGUAAUGUAGCGGUGAAAUGCUUAGAUAUUACACAGAACACCAAUUGCGUAGGCAGCUCACUAAACUACAACUGACGCUGAGGCACGAACGCGUGGGGAGCAAGCAGG
rnacentral:rRNA from 1 species